CUGGGGCUGGCAGAAUGGUAAAAGCGCUUGGCUGCAAGCCUGAUGGCCUGAGUUCAAUCCUUGGGCCUCAAG
rfam:Cricetulus griseus cell line CHO-K1, whole genome shotgun sequence.